rnacentral:rRNA from 1 species
CCUACGGGAGGCUGCAGUGGGGAAUCUUGCACAAUGGGCGAAAGCCUGAUGGAGCAACGCCGCGUGGGUGAAGAAGGUCUUCGGAUCGUAAAACCCUGUUGUUAGAGAAGAAAGUGCGUGAGAGUAACUGUUCACGUUUCGACGGUAUCGAACCAGAAAGCCACGGCUAACUACGUGCCAGCAGCCGCGGUGAUACGUAGGGGGCAAGCGUUAUCCGGAUUUAUUGGGCGUAAAGGGAAUGCAGGCGGUAUUUUAAGUCUGAUGUGAAAGCCUUCGGCUUAACCGGAGUAGUGCAUUGGAAACUGGGAGACUGGAGUGCAGAAGAGGAGAGUGGAACUCCAUGUGUAGCGGUGAAAUGCGUAGAUAUAUGGAAGAACACCAGUGGCGAAAGCGGCUCUCUGGUCUGUAACUGACGCUGAGGUUCGAAAGCGUGGGUAGCAAACAGGAUUAGAUACCCCAGUAGUC